GCUGGAUGUGGUGGCGCACACCUAUAAUCCCAGCAACUCUGGGGCUGAGGCAGGAGGAUCACAAGUUUGAGGACAGCCUGGGAAAUUUAGCAAGACCCUGUCUCAA
rnacentral:sRNA from 1 species